CCACUCCUACGGGGGGCAGCAGUGAGGAAUAUUGGUCAAUGGGCGGGAGCCUGAACCAGCCAAGUCGCGUGAGGGAUGACGGCCCUACGGGUUGUAAACCUCUUUUGUCGGGAAGCAAGACCCGCCACGAGUGGCGGAGCGAGAGUACCCGAAGAAAAAGCAUCGGCUAACUCCGUGCCAGCAGGCGCGGUAAUACGGAGGUCUCAAGCGUUGUUCGGAAUCACUGGGCGUAAAGCGUGCGUAGGCUGUUUCGUUAGUCG
rnacentral:rRNA from 1 species